GUGAGGAAUAUUGGUCAAUGGUCGCAAGACUGAACCAGCCAUGCCGCGUGCAGGAUGAAUGUUCUAUGAAUUGUAAACUGCUUUUCUAAGGGAAGAAACCUAUCCUCGUGAGGGUAGUUGCCGGUACCUUGGGAAUAAGCAUCGGCUAACUCCGUGCCAGCAGCCGCGGUAAUACGGAGGAUGCAAGCGUUAUCCGGAUUCAUUGGGUUUAAAGGGUGCGUAGGCGGAUUAAUAAGUCAGUGGUGAAAUCUUGCGGCUCAACCGUAACAUUGCCAUUGAUACUGUUAGUCUUGAAUGCAGUUGAGGUAGGCGGAAUGUGUAAUGUAGCGGUGAAAUGCUUAGAUAUUACACAGAACACCGAUUGCGAAGGCAGCUUGCUAAACUGUGAUUGACGCUGAUGCACGAAAGCGUGGGGAUCAAACAGGAUUAGAAACCCGGGUAGUCC
rnacentral:rRNA from 1 species